rnacentral:rRNA from 1 species
CCUACGGGUGGCAGCAGUAGGGAAUAUUGCACAAUGGGGGAAACCCUGAAGCAGCAACGCCGCGUGGAGGAUGAAGGUUUUCGGGUUGUAAACCUCUUUUGUCAGGGAAGAUAAUGACGGUAUCUAACGAAUAAGCACCGGCUAACUCCGUGCCAGCAGCCGCGGUAAUACGGAGGGUGCAAGCGUUAUCCGGAAUCACUGGGCGUAAAGAGAGCGUAGGCGGGAAAGCAAGUCUGAAGUGAAAGCCUACGGCUUAACCGUAGAACUGCAUUUGAAACUGUUAUUCUAGAGUACGGGAGAGGUAGGUGGAAUUCUUGGUGUAGGGGUAAAAUCCGUAGAGAUCAAGAGGAAUACUCGUGGCGAAGGCGACCUACUGGAACGUAACUGACGCUGAGGCGCGAAAGCGUGGGGAGCAAACAGGAUUAGAUACCCGUGUAGUC